ensembl:lncRNA
GACCAUCAGGGUGGGCAUCCUUUCUAAUAAGGUCUCUGAAGAAAGAGGAUAUAGGUAGCCUCUGUCUCAUUACUGCUAUACAGGGGGUGGAUGGCAUGCUACUCUGGAGCGUGCUUUUGGGAUUUGUGGACAUAUCAAGAGACAGCAUAGUUUGGACCGCAUGGCUUCUGAUCAACCCAGAUGUGUGAUCAGUGUGCAUCACUCUCUGCGCCUCGGAUUCUGUAAUGGAGAGAAUGACUUACUGAUGGUGUAGGGACGCUGAGGAUGCGUGGAGGUAAGGUGUUCGAAGUACCAGACAGUACGCAGUACAGUACCUGGGUGUCUUAGUCAGGGUUU